GCAUCGGUGGUUCAGUGGUAGAAUUGUCGCCUAGCACGCGAUAGACACGGGUUCGAUUCCCGGCCAAUGCA